UACGUAGGGAGCAAGCGUUGUCCGGAUUUACUGGGUGUAAAGGGUGCGUAGGCGGCCUUUUAAGUCAGCGGUAAAAUUUCGGGGCUCAACCCCGUCGUGCCGUUGAAACUGGCGUUCUUGAGUGAGCGAGAAGUAUGCGGAAUGCGUGGUGUAGCGGUGAAAUGCAUAGAUAUCACGCAGAACUCCGAUUGCGAAGGCAGCAUACCGGCGCUCAACUGACGCUCAGGCACGAAAGCGUGGGUAUCGAACAGG
rnacentral:rRNA from 1 species